AGCUCCAAUAGCGUAUAUUAAAGUUGUUGCAGUUAAAAAGCUCGUAGUUGGAUUUCUGGUAGGAGCGACCAUACCGGGCUUGAUUGUCCGUGUAAUGCGUUGUCUCCAGCCAUCCUCGUGGAGAAUGUUUCUGGCAUUAAUUUGUUGGAUUCGGGACCCGCGUCAUUUACUGUGAAAAAAUUAGAGUGUUUAAAGCAGGCAAUUGGCUUGAAUACAUUAGCAUGGAAUAAUAAGAUAGGACUUUGGUGCUAUUUUGUUGGUUUGCACACCAAGGUAAUGAUUAACAGAAUCAGUCGGGGAUAUUCGUAUGCAAAUGUCAGAGGUGAAAUUCUUGGAUUUUUUACAGACGAACUACUGCGAAAGCAUUUAUCAAGGAUGUUUUCAUUAAUCAAGAACGAAA
rnacentral:rRNA from 1 species